rnacentral:sRNA from 1 species
ACAGUAUCACAGAGUUAAUUACACCAGACCUGCACUAAAGGGAGUAAUAGAAAGAUUGGUCUUUGGCAGAAGAGAAAUGAUCCUGGAUGGCAGCUUUAAGAUGCGUGGAAAAGUGAAGACCAAAGAAAUGAGAAAUAAGAUGAGAUCAUGAUGCAGCCGUCCUUUUGGAUUUCUUUUUAAUAAUGUGUGACCCUUCACCUUUGAUCCCCUGACCUGCAUUACCUUGGCUCUCACCACACACUUGUUCAUGGGCGCAGCAAAGAAGAGGGAUCCACAGAGCUGGAGCCGUGAGGGCUGACACAUUGGAAUGAAAGUUGGCAGAAUUCAUAGGGAGAGCUUUCCCAUCCUGCCAGCCCCAUGUCUGGCUUUAAGACAGUUCUAUUAGUGAAUUAACUGUUCUCAAAACCCCAAAUUAAUUUGAACCGAAUGUUACUAAAAAUGAAAUAGAAUAAAGUGACCUACUCUUGCCUCAUCCGGAGUUAUUACGAAGGAGCUCCGCAGCCUGACUGAGCUCUGGAGAGCAGGGCUCUGUGCACAUGCCUCCUGGUCCAGAGGCCUCCGUGACCAUCCAUGAUGCCACUCUGUCCCUUCAGCAAGCUGCCUUUUUCUUCCUAGCACCUGCCCCAGCGGUGGUAUGUUUUCCUGUCAGUUACCACCUGUCUCAUCAGAAUGGAAGCUCCAUGAGAGCAGGGCCUUUGUCUUGUCCCCGUGUAUCUCCAGUGCAUAGGACAGUGCUGACACAGUGCAGAGUCUAAAUAAAUGCUGU